rnacentral:rRNA from 1 species
CGGAAUUUGUUUUAGCACAGAGUUUGAUCCUGGCUCAGAUGAACGCUGGCGGCAGGCCUAACACAUGCAAGUCGAGCGGAUGAAGAGAGCUGCUCUCUGAUCAGCGGCGGACGGGUGAGUAAUGCCUAGGAAUCUGCCUGGUAGUGGGGGACAACGUUUCGAAAGGAACGCUAAUACCGCAUACGUCCUACGGGAGAAAGCAGGGGACCUUCGGGCCUUGCGCUAUCAGAUGAGCCUAGGUCGGAUUAGCUAGUUGGUGAGGUAAUGGCUCACCAAGGCGACGAUCCGUAACUGGUCUGAGAGGAUGAUCAGUCACACUGGAACUGAGACACGGUCCAGACUCCUACGGGAGGCAGCAGUGGGGAAUAUUGGACAAUGGGCGAAAGCCUGAUCCAGCCAUGCCGCGUGUGUGAAGAAGGUCUUCGGAUUGUAAAGCACUUUAAGUUGGGAGGAAGGGUUGUAGAUUAAUACUCUGCAAUUUUGACGUUACCGACAGAAUAAGCACCGGCUAACUCUGUGCCAGCAGCCGCGGUAAUACAGAGGGUGCAAGCGUUAAUCGGAAUUACUGGGCGUAAAGCGCGCGUAGGUGGUUUGUUAAGUUGGAUGUGAAAGCCCCGGGCUCAACCUGGGAACUGCAUUCAAAACUGACAAGCUAGAGUAUGGUAGAGGGUGGUGGAAUUUCCUGUGUAGCGGUGAAAUGCGUAGAUAUAGGAAGGAACACCAGUGGCGAAGGCGACCACCUGGACUGAUACUGACACUGAGGUGCGAAAGCGUGGGGAGCAAACAGGAUUAGAUACCCUGGUAGUCCACGCCGUAAACGAUGUCAACUAGCCGUUGGGGACCUUGAGUCUUUAGUGGCGCAGCUAACGCAUUAAGUGACCGCCUGUAGGGCAUUGAAAAAAA